CUUUCAGUGUACACGUUACACAGCUAUUCUAUACCAUGAUUGGUCAUAUUUUUCAACUUCUUCAUCUUAUUUUCAAAGGACUCCAUCACCUCAUAGUCGUGAUCGGUUGCUGUUGUGUUAUGGCGCCACGGAGACGCGCAGACUACAUAAAUGUGGACUACAUACAUGUGGACUAGCAUCUCUAGCACGUUGACUAAACCUCAGGCCGCUCUUGACUGCUGAAUUACCGUAUCUACAAACGUUUACAAGUGCUGUCACAGCUGUGUGAAACCUCUUAAGUGUCUAGAACUAGAGCACUAUGCGUCUGCAACUAGUCUUCAUACCAAUAUCGCACUGUAGCUUGUUCCGCACUGCUGUUGCAAACCGCCAUUUUGACAUAUCUUGCCAUAGAAGUAGAGAGACAUGCACGUUGGACUCGUUUUUAGACAUGAAUAGACGUAGUAUUGGUUGGAUCGGUACUCUAGUGUGUACCAUUCAAAUUUGAUUGUACAGUCACACCGUUCUAGCGUUUUGGUCUGCGUAAAAUACUCAAAAAUCAA